GAUGUGAAGAAGCUGUUAGGACAGGUCAGAGAAUCCUUACAGAACAACAGGAGAGUAUGUCAGAAGGAGAGAAAGUUUUGAAGGAAGGAAAGAAAAGAAAAGGAGGAAAAGAGGUAAAAGAAAAGGCAGAAAAGAUCAAGGAGAGGAUAGACAAAGGCGAGAAUAGUAAUCAGAAUCUAGGAACAAAAAAAAAUUUAUCCCUCAUUAAAGGCAUUGACCUUGGAGAUGUCUAGUGAUUCAGAGUUUAGUGAUAGUGACUUAGCUGACCUUGAGGAGAAGGUAGCUCAUUAUGAGAAAGAGAUUUAUCAUUCUGACUGGCCAAACACUUACGCUGUGCAGAAACAAGCCAAGGACUUAAAUAAGAAGGCAAUUAUGCCAACAGCACCUCCUGCACCACCGUAUAACUUUCAAGGUAAAACAAUGGUGAAGCCUGCAGGAAGUACUUCUUUUUGCCCGGAAGUAUGGAAAGAGUAAGGAUUGAGUUUUCCAGUUUUUCUGGAUGCAAACGGGCUGCAACAUCAUGAACCUGUUGACUUUAAGACAAUAAAACAAUUAACAGAGUCAGUCAAAACCUAUGGAGUCAACUCAGCUUUUGUUAUCGCUCAAGUUGAGGCUCUUGGCAGAUAUUGUCUCACCCCUGGAGACUGGGGGAGUUUAACCAGAGCCUGCCUCUCUCUGGCUAUGGAGCAGGUGUAGUGAAAGGAAACUUAAUUUUAUGGACCCCGCUCUAGUGGCGGUGUGUUGGUUGAUAGCCAACGUUAAUUUU
rnacentral:lncRNA from 1 species